rnacentral:rRNA from 1 species
GUGGGGAAUCUUCCGCAAUGGACGAAAGUCUGACGGAGCAACGCCGCGUGAGUGAUGAAGGUCUUCGGAUUGUAAAGCUCUGUUAAUCGGGACGAAAGAGCCUAGUGUGAAUAAUGCUAGGAAGUGACGGUACCGGAAUAGAAAGCCACGGCUAACUACGUGCCAGCAGCCGCGGUAAUACGUAGGUGGCAAGCGUUGUCCGGAAUUAUUGGGCGUAAAGCGCGCGCAGGCGGAUCUGCCAGUCUGUCUUAAAAGUUCGGGGCGUAACCCCGUGAUGGGAUGGAAACUACAGAUCUAGAGUAUCGGAGAGGAAAGUGGAAUUCCUAGUGUAGCGGUGAAAUGCGUAGAUAUUAGGAAGAACACCAGUGGCGAAGGCGACUUUCUGGACGAAAACUGACGCUGAGGCGCGAAAGCCAGGGGAGCGAACGGGAUUAGAAACCCUUGUAGUCC